CCUAGCAAUCCAGGCAUGUUAGAAAGCUUGACCCACUGAUCUAAAAAAAAGACUGGAUCGAGCAACCUAUUGUUUUCACACGCCAAAAUUUGAAGCCAGAUUUUUUCGAUCGCCGCCAUCUUGGUGAGACCACCUUACGCGCCACAGCUUUGUGAUUGUGCUGGUAUACAAACGCAGAAUUAGUGAAAAAUCAUCAAAAACAUCAGGAGUGCCAGUGAAGGAAGCGAGGAUGAGGAAACACAACUUAAAAAGCACUUCCCAAGAACCUUCCACUCGAGCCCCCUCGGUGGCUACAGGGCCCUCCCCCUCCGCCUUCUUCUCCUCACUCGUGGUCACCAUCGUUUCUGACUGAGUGACUGUGGCGGUGCUCUUCACUGUCGCCCCCUCGUGGCCGGAGACAGGCCCACUGCUGGCCUUGACAGCACCAAAUGAGCAGCUAGAAUAGGAUGGGGUGCGAGAGCUCUCCAGGCCAUAAGCGUUGUAGUUCACAGCUGUGCGUUAAAAAAAUAGAAUAACAUUCGGCACAUAUUUCAGAGAUCAAAAUAUGUUUUUUAAAAAUCAUUCAAACUAAUAAAAUGCAUACACGUCACUUUGGACACGUUGGUCUUGAUUCCAGUAGCGAGCCUACAAAGGGAGACAGAUGGCUUACUAAACGUUACAUGACAGCAUGAUGAAGAAAGAGUGUCCACGCUCAUCAUCAUACCUGUCCUCUUCUCCCUCAAGAAGCUUCCUGUAGGUGGCGAUCUCAAUGUCCAAUGCAAGCUUCACAUUCAUCAGUUCCUGGUACUGGCGGACCUGCAGGGCCAUGUCCUGCUUGGCCCUCUGAAGAGCCUCCUCCAGUUCUCGAAUGCGGAGUUUGGCAUCCUUCACUGCCAGCUCACCGCGCUCCUCGGCCUCGGCGAUCUGAGCCUCCAAAUUAUUUAUCUGAAAACAGAGACUGCAGCCUCAUGAUCCUGCGGUUCAUGUCCGCGAUCUCCGCCUUGGUUAACUUGAGGUCGUCACCGCAUCUGCCAGCUGACUCCUGCAUCUCUGCAUACUGGACACACACAAGAAUUAUAUGAGAUAUUCCAUUUUAUAUAUAUUUUGUUAUUUAUAUGCAUUCCCAAUAUAGCUUAGCCAGUGGUUAAUAUCUACAGUUGAUUAGAAGGUUUUCAAAGUGUCUUAAAAUGAUUUUCUGGGGUAUAUUUUGUGGUUCCAGCUCAAGAAAAAAAAAAAAGCAUGUUGCUUUUGACAUAACUUUGCAAAAGACGUCUCAAGCUGCUGCACUUCCCCUGAAGUCGACUGGUGUCUCCCAGAACCCAAAUAACUUUUAACUUGUUUGACUCUAGAAAACAUACAACAGUCGUCCAUCGCUACAUCGCGGUUCGAACAUUGUUCCCUCACUCUAUCACAGUUCUUCAAAAAUGUAUUAACUAAUAAAUUAUCUCUGUUUUGUGGCUGUCCAAAAAUACUUAAAGUUAAAUGUAGUAUUCUGGUGACUAGAUGUCAGUAAUGUUACAUUGACGAGACAUGACAUUAUAUUACAUUACCUUCACACUGCAUGUAGUCAGCAAUGGCACGCCUGACAUGAUCGAAAGUUCUCCUCCCAUUCUGUGUGGAAGUGGUAAGUGUUUGGCUUCUUACUUUGUCCUUCCUUCCCGCUCCGUUUGAAACACUUUCUUAAUUUUUGAAUAAGUAAAUUGGAGAGGCUAACCAGUUAGCUCGGUCGCUUGCUAUGCCUGCGGCGGCGUCUCUUAUGUCCCGUAGCCUGCGCAAGGUGGUGUAAACAAAGAAUAACAGGAGUGUAAAGGGGUGUUAUUUCAUGUCUACAGGGCUCUAAUGAUGUUAAAAAGCAUAUUUACAAAGCCAUAAACAUAUUUUGUAUGCUCUAACUAAGAAAAUAUUCAGUUUAUAAAUGAUAAACAUGAUCAACAAGGGACGACUGUAUAGAUGAAAGAACCAUCCAACACCACCAAUGACAUUAAACGAGAGAACACUGCAAUGUGACCACACGUCAGUAGACUUUGUCACCUUGGACUGGUACCAUGAUUCAGCUUCCGCUCUGCUUCGAUUGGCGAUGUCUUCAUACUGGGCGCGCACUUCAGCAACAAUGGCAUCCAUGUCAAGGUUACGGCUGUUAUCCAUCUCCACGACCACGGAUGUGUCCUUGAUCUGACUCUGUAGCUCGUGGAUUUCCUACACAAGGAAGACCAAAAGACAUGAAGAUCCUAUAAAAGACACCAAAAAAUAGCGACAUAUUCAUUCAUGUAAGACUAAACUAUAAGAUAAAUUCAUUACAGCGUCAUAGAUCUGCCUCAGGAAGUCGAGUUCAUCAGAAAGUCCGUCCAGUUUGGCCUCCAGCUCUGCUUUGAUCAAGUACGCCGCAUCUGUGUCCUGCAUGGUGACACACAGCGGCUCAUUGUUGCAUGAGGUCACAACCAACAUGACAAGUGACGCUUUUCGGGUCUUCUAAUUUCAGUGUGAACAUCAAAUAUUGGUCGGUCGACCUGGACAAACCUUCUUCAUGAGGACAAAGUUGUUCUCACAGUCAUUGCGCUUGUUGAUCUCAUCCUCGUAUCUAAAAAGCAGAGCCACAUGCAUUCACAGCAAACUGUAGGCGAUAUCUUGUAGUUGAUGCUGAAAUGAAUACCUACGGAAGCAAUUCAUUGCACAUUCCUACCAACAUCACUCUAUCUGUUGAGUUACAGUUCCAACUUCUGUUCCGUUACAGUCCGAGCCUGGCCCUUUAAGAAUUGCAUUGUGGGAAGUUGAGUGUCUACCUCUUCCCUCUUUUGUCUGUCUGCACCGCCCAUUGUUUUCUGCCUCCUGAUUGGCUGUAGACCAAUCAGUCAACCAAUCUCCUUUGUGCCACCCCUCCAUGUCUCCUGUGUCGUCGCUAGCUUGCUUGCUUGCUAGCUUGUAAAUGAAUCUUCGGUUCUCUGCAACAAUAUGUUUUAACAAGGAUAGAAAAACGCUACAGUACAGCGGAACGGUGCCAGGACGAAAAGGCACAGGACUGAAGUAUGUAGGGAACGUGCAUGUCACAUGGUGACACUACACAUAAUGCAAUGCGCAGUGGGAUUUACUGCUGACCAGUCCUGGAACCAGUCAUCGUCCACGUGCCUGGACAGGAUACGCGCGCACCCAACGCCAAUCAGAUGCUGGUUGUACAAAAUAGA